CCUACGGGUGGCUGCAGUGAGGAAUAUUGGUCAAUGGGCGCGAGCCUGAACCAGCCAAGUCGCGUGAAGGAUGACUGUCCUCCGGGUUGUAAACUUCUUUUAUAAAGGAAUAAAGUGAGGCACGUGUGCCUUUUUGUAUGUACUUUAUGAAUAAGGAUAGGCUAACUCAGUGCUAGCAGCCGCGGUAAUACGGAGGAUCCGAGCGUUAUCCGGAUUUUUUGGGUUUAAAGGGAGCGUAGAUGGGUUGUUAAGUCAGUUGUGAAAGUUUGCGGCUCAACCGUAAAAUUGCAAUUGAUACUGGCAGUCUUGAGUGCAGUUGAGGUAGGCGGAAUUCGUGGUGGAGCGGUGAAAUGCUUAGAUAUCACGAAGAACUCCGAUUGCGAAGGCAGCUUACUAGACUGCCACUGACGUUGAUGCUCGAAAGUGUGGGUAGCAAACAGGAUUAGAUACCCCGGUAGUC
rnacentral:rRNA from 1 species